AGACAUGUUUUAAGCUGAUUACAAAAACUCCUCCAAAAUACCUUUUCUUAGUAAAAUUUGCCUCAUAUAAAUAGUAUUUUGAAUAAAGAGGGUAGUGACAAGUUAACCUUCAUAUAUAUUAUAUGAAAUUUAAAUAUAUAGCAGAAGAAGCCAAUUUGGGAUUAAAACAUGCAGUACUAUGAUACUUUGAGAAAUCAAAGACAUGUAAAAAACUUCUCUAAGAAAUACCCAAGUUCAGUUCUGUUGAGCCAGGGAGCAAGUGAAGUGAACGUAAAGUUGGCAGUUUCCCAUUUAGUUAUAAAAGACCAUAACAUCGCGGAUUCUUCACCUGCCACACAAAUUGUUCUAACCAUCCCUGUUGUUGGAGAAGGAGAGAAAAAAGAAUGCUGAAGCCGCUUGGGAAAACAUUUGAUUUCCCCCCAAAAUAAAAUAAACUCAAACAAAUUUUAUAAGAUUUUAAAAGUUUUAGGACCUCUCAUGCUCGCCAAGAUAGAGCAAACACACUACAGCCUAUUUCUCCCACUCAUUACAGCUGAAAUUUUUGAACAAAAUUAUAUAUCAACUCCCUGCAGACUCUGGAAAGUAAAUAACGGUAGGCAAAUUGGGCGGCGGGGUCAAAAUUUACAGAAGUGACCUGUGCAAGAGUGAGGUUCUCAGGUUAUUCUCUUAACUCUUCCAGCUUUGACAUGAAAGGCGCCCCAGUCACAGAACUCCCCAGCUGGCAUGCGCACCAGAAACUCCAAGAAAAGCCCUCUCCUUCUGCCCAGAGGACCAGGAAAAAGGGUCCCUAUGAGCCAAAGAGAUUGCAGGGGGAAAUCCCUGUGUGUUCUCUCUCAAAAUAGAGAGAGAGAGAGAGAGACAUGACAUUUGAUAAAGAUGAUACAGAUACAGAUGUAGACAUAGGUAUAGAUAUGAAGAUGUAUAUAGCAGUCCCUCCUUAUCCUUAGUUUCACUUUCCACAGUUUCAGUUACCCAUGAUCAACUGUGCUCCAAAAAUAUUAAAUAGCAAAUUCCAGAAAUAAACAAUUCAUAAGUUUUAAAUUGCACACUAUUCUGAGUAGUGUGAUGUCAUCUCUCGCUGUCUGGCUCUGUCCUGCCCGGGACGUGAAAACACCCCUUUGUCCAGCAGAUCCACACUCUAUGUGCUACCUACCCGUUAGCCCAUUAGUUAGGAAAAAAGACAGUGUAUAUAGGGUUCCCUAUUAUCGGUAGUUUCAGGCAACCACUGGGGGUCCUGGAAUGUAUGCCCCGUGGAUAAGGGGGCCUGCUGUAUAGAUACAUCUUGCUGCUUUUUCUUUCUCAGCUCUGCUCAAGGGAGACUCCAGUCCUGGUCCUAUAGAAAGGCAGGAUUGGCAACAAAAACUCUGAGAAGUUCCUGUAAGCCAAGCAGUGUGUGUUGGGGAACCUUAGAGAAAGUGCUGGAGAGGGGACCUGCCUCUGCACAUGAACUGGCUCAAGUCGUGGGCUCAGCUGAAGCCGCACACGCAUGGACAGUCCCACAGAGGUGAACAAAAGCUUUGAAACCUGAGCUGUGUUGGAACCACCACCCACGGCAGGAGAGAGAGUUGCAGUCUGAGCCUAAGGGGAGUGACUGCCUGCUUAAAAUCAGUGCUCUCCACAGGAUUUCAACAGGUUGCAGAAUCUGACAACAUAACAUUCAAAAUGUCCAGGAUACAAUACAAAAUUAUUGGACACCCGAGGAAUCAGGGAAAUAUGACCUAUUCAUAUGGGAAAAGGCAAUCAAUAUGUGUCAAGCCAAAAAUGGCCCAGUUGUUGGAUCAUCAGACAAAAUUUGAAAGCAGCUAUUAUAACCAUGCUCAUAAGAUGAAUAGAAAGAUAGAAGUUCUUGGCAGAGACAUAGAAGCUAUAAAGAUUCCAAGUGGGAAUUUUAGAACUGAAAAAUAUAAUUUCUGAAAUUUAAAAAAAGGUAAGGGAUGGGCUUCAUAGCACAAUGGAAAUAACAGAAGACUCCGUGACUUGAACACAGAUCAAUAGAAAUUAACCAUUCUGAGGAAUGCUGAGAUAAAGGACAGAACAAAAUGAAGGGAGCUUCAGGAAUCUGAGAGGCAACAUCAAAAGGCCUAAAAAGUCAUCAUUGGGUCACAGAAAGGGGAGGGGGAAAUGAAGUGGGAAAAAAUGUUUUGGAGGAAUAAUUACUGAAAAUUUCCUAAAUUUGGUGAACAAUAUAAAUUUACAGGUUCAAGAAAUGCUGCAAAAUCCAAACAAGAUGCCCAGGAUAUUAUAAUCAAACUGCUGAAAAUCAGAGAUAAAAAACCUUGAAAGCAGCCAGGAAAAAACACCACACUCAAUGCAGGGAACAACAAUUUGAAUUACAGAUAACGGCCAAAAUCGAAUCAAAAAUCCAGUGGGCAGAACAGAGUGAAUCACUAUCUUUAAAGUGUUAACAGGAAAGAACCAUCAAUCCAGAACUGUAUAUUCAGUGCAAAUCUUCUUUGCAAAUAUUCUUUGGUAGUUCUAAAAUACGUCCACAAAUCCACUGACAAUCCUCCCUUCAAAAGCUGGAGCCUAGUUCCCCUCCUCUUGAGAGUGAGACAGAACUAGGGAUUCACGUCUAAUGAGCAGCAUAUGGUAGAAACGACACUUUAUGAUUCUGAAUUUUCAGUUACCAAUUUAGUCGACACAGUUCCCCAACACCAUGGAUCAAAUUUUGGUUACCUCAGUGUAGUAACUGUGAGUAAUUGCAUGAAGUUCUGUCUCGCUGAAACUGUGUGGGUGGCCCCACUCCACCCAUCACACGUGAACAGCAGAUGGCAUCGUGCUCGGUGACUGAUGACAGCACUUCUUGCAGAGUCUGUCGGUGACUGGGCACUGCACGCCUCUUAGCUCAUGUGCACAGACAGCAAAGCAUGUGGUUGCGUUGCCUCCUUGUCUCCGGUGAUAAACCCACAUGACAGUUUACAAAAGUGGGUCAUCCAAAGAGGGCAUUGGCCAACAAGGAUGAAAGUGCAGUGAAGAAAUGGAAGCUGGAAACAAUGAGAGUGAAAUUCAAAGCAAACAUAAAUGGGUCAUCAAAGACAGAGCGACUGCACGAGCCAGACAGUCGAGACGUGCUGUCAAAGGAACCGAGUGAAGUGAAUUUAUCAAACAAGUGAGCAAAGUGGUUGUGACAAAAAGGACGAAGAUGUCCCAGAGGAAGGGACACCGGCAAAAAAACUCCCAUUAAAGGAACCUGGAGAUAUUUCAUGACGUUAGAAGCACAAAGGAGAAAACGUUGGAAGCUGAUGCAAACUUAGAAAGGAGUACGAUGAGUUGUGAAGUAAGUUAUACCACUUACGAAGGCAGGUGCCGUUCACAUGACUCGGAUGCCUACCACAGCACGGCUUGCCAAGUGGUGCCAUGUCCGAACCCAGGAUCCAAACUGGCAAACCCCGGGCCACUAAAGCGGAACAUGUGCACUUAACCACUGC
rnacentral:lncRNA from 1 species